UUCCUAAUAGCUAGUUGGUAAAGAAUCUGCCUGCAAUGCAGGAGACCCUGAUUUGAUUUCUGGUUGGGAAG
rnacentral:tRNA from 1 species